rnacentral:rRNA from 1 species
AUACGUAGGGGGCAAGCGUUAUCCGGAAUUACUGGGCGUAAAGGGUGCGUAGGUGGCCUGACAAGUCAGGGGUCAAAGGCAACGGCUCAACCGUUGUAAGCCCUUGAAACUGUCGGGCUCGAGUUCAGGAGUGGAAAGCGGAAUUCCUAGUGUAGCGGUGAAAUGCGUAGAUAUUAGGAGGAACACCAGUGGCGAAGGCGGCUUUUCUGGACUGAUACUGACACUGAGGCACGAAAGCGUGGGGAGC